UGCAGCUGAUUUAUUCCUUCAGCUGUGUAUCACUCAGAGCCUGCUGCAAGUCCUUGGCUCCUGGAUCUUUACUCUUUUGUAUAUAAAGCAAUUGAAAGCUUGGUGUUGAACCUGCAUGACAGAUUUCUAUGGAAGCUAUGUAACCAUCUGUGCUUAAACAAGACGUAUCGCUGCAGGAAUACUGAUGGAAAACAUUCUCACUUGACAGAACUGGGAAUUCACCAUUAAACAGGCAGAAAUAAACCCGAUAAGAUUUCAACUGGAGGAGCUUGUGCCAGGCUCAGACUGAACGCACCAUGGGACAGACAGAAUGGCUGUACUUGGACAAAUCCCACAGCAGUAACAUGCCAUAAGCAAUUCUGCAAAUACCCUAUUUCCUGCAGCCAGUGAAGGGAAGGCUUGCAUCAGCACUACAUUCCCCUGAACAACCAUUUAAGCAAGCUCCUCUCAGUAGGAUUGGAGGAACGGCAAUAGGUAUGGCUGAGUGUGUCUCGCCUGAAUCGGCAGCCCUUGCUGUAAUGUCACACAAGGUGGCUCUAUGGUCCUUAACAAGAAUGGAUGGAAAUUUUCCCUUUUAGCACUGGCUGAUGCAGUCUUGCAGUAUUAAAAGAGAGGAGAAUAAUACCCAGCCAGUGUGGGAUUGCAUUUGUCCUUGCUAAAAUAAAACUCCUCAAGAAAACAUGUUUGCAUGUAGCAGGAAUCUACUUUCAGCCUGAGCCUGGGCUGCCCUUGGGGCAAUGCCAGGACACCACAUCAUACAGCUGACAGUCAACAAAAUGGACAGAUGAGGCAAGAGUGCAGUGAUAGACCCAAGCACAUUUCUGGGGUAUGGACCCUCUUCAUAGAGCUGUAGCUCUACAUCUCACCUGCUCACCUCCCUCUCAUCUGAUCCUUUCAGCAACUGCUCUCAGUU